UAGGGAAUCUUCCGCAAUGGGCGAAAGCCUGACGGAGCAACGCCGCGCGAGUGAUGAAGGUCUUCGGAUCGUAAAACUCUGUUAUUAGGGAAGAACAAAUGUGUAAGUAACUAUGCACGUCUUGACGGUACCUAAUCAGAAAGCCACGGCUAACUACGUGCCAGCAGCCGCGGUAAUACGUAGGUGGCAAGCGUUAUCCGGAAUUAUUGGGCGUAAAGCGCGCGUAGGCGGUUUUUUAAGUCUGAUGUGAAAGCCCACGGCUCAACCGUGGAGGGUCAUUGGAAACUGGACAACUUGAGUGCAGAAGAGGAAAGUGGAAUUCCAUGUGUGGCGGUGAAAUGCGCAGAGAUAUGGAGGAACACCAGUGUCGAAGGCGACUUUCUGGUCUGUAACUGACGCUGAUGUGCGAAAGCGUGGGGAUCAAACAGG
rnacentral:rRNA from 1 species